rnacentral:rRNA from 1 species
UACGUAGGGGGCUAGCGUUGUCCGGAUUUAUUGGGCGUAAAGAGCGUGUAGGCGGCCAGGUAGGUCUGCUGUGAAAACUCGAGGCUCAACCUCGAGACGUCGGCGGAAACCAUCUGGCUAGAGUCCGGAAGAGGAGAGUGGAAUUCCUGGUGUAGCGGUGAAAUGCGCAGAGAUCAGGAAGAACACCUAUGGCGAAGGCAGCCCUCUGGGAUGGUACUGACGCUGAGACGCGAAAGCGUGGGGAGCGAACAGG